AUGGGAUUAAUGUGCAUGUGCAGAGACAUACUUUUAUUUAUUUAUAUCUCUCACACAUAUAGACAUGUUUCUUUUACACACACAUAUAAGUAGCGAUUUGAUAUUUGGUCGUUGGCACAUGGAUAUGUAAGGAAAUUAAUUGUUUUCUAAACAUUAUUAAGCAUGUACACACAAGUGUAUGGAUCAUAUUAUUUAAACAAAAUGUGAAGGCUUUUGUUGUCUGUUUAUCAACCAAAGUGAAACCAAGAACAACACUUGUUUUGUGAAUAGCGAUCAGAACAAAAACCCGUGGAGUGCUAUAAUUUGCUAAAGGAAGACACGCGGUCUUGAAAUCAUCGAGCGUUUAACGGGUUAUUUCUUGAUACAAAGCGAAGGAACAAUGGUCAUGCUUGUGGUCAUCUCAAAAUACAGAUAAGUUAUUUCCUUUUAUGUAUAAAUCUUAUGUAUUGAUGCAUGAACAUGCAACGUGUUUUGGUUAGAAACUGAGCUCGCUUAUUGAUACGUAAGGUGUACCGUCGUGUUAGUAUCGUCUAGUGUGUUACAAGAGUUGUUUUGAAGGCUGUCGGUUUUGUCCUUAUGCAUGAUUAAAGAAUUAUGUUAACAUGAUACUUGUUAUGUUCCUACUAAUUUCGUAUCUAACUUAUAGUAAUGUUUGAUUAACUAUCUAUAAGGUGAGUUCUCAUAUUGUAAAUAAUCUUGAAUGUGUAACAUGGAAAACAUGAUUUGUAUGAACGCUUCUAUAUAUGUGGUAGAUGAUUUUAUAAAACAAGCAUGAUAUAUGACUAAAUGUAAUCUGUUCACUAGGUGUUUGUUUAAACACAAACAAGAACCAGGUAGCAAAAUAAAGGAAAUUGGUGUUAAAUUAUAUCAUCUUAUGUUCAAUAUGAAUGAAAUAAGGCUAAUUGGCAUGUUUGAUAUCUGGACUGAACGGGAUAAUUAGAGUCGCAUCUUCAUUCUCUUGAAUGAUAUUAAAUUAGUGGUUCUUUUAGUUGGAAGAGUUUGAGCCACUUUGAUAUAUUAACUCGUGUAUAUUUCUAUUGCUAAGCAUGCCUUGUUACUUUUGUUUGACAUGGAGUAUUUUCUUAAAAAUGGUUAAAUCUGUGUUAUCUCAUUCAUGUCUAUGUGAAAGGUAUUAGGCUAUGUUAAUAGCCUAGUGUUAACUACACAGGGUUCCUAAUAAAAGGAAUUAGACAACCCUUAAUAAAUUUAGAUACAUAAGCCUGGAGUUGAGCUAUCUAAUAUUUUGGGGUGGUAGUACUAUUGUACAUCUUACUGAACCUAAAAGAAAGAGUUUAGGUGAGAAAGGAAUAGAGUAUAUAUUCAUAUGCUAUGCUAAAAAUUCAUAAGCCUAUUGGUUAUGUGUCUUAGAAUUAAUGACUGGGUGUGUAAAAACUGUCAUAGAGUCAAGGAUAUCAUCCGUAAUUCUCAGAAUAGGGCUUCUGAUACUAUUGAGAAUGUCGUUGAUUCUGAUAAAGCAUCAGCUGCUCUGCUGGUAAUGACAGUGUAUCUAUUCCUUCUCAACCUAGGAAAAGCAUGAGAAAAAGAACAACUAAGUAUUUUGGUUCUAACUUUCAUCUUUAUUUAGUUGAAAGGACUAGGAGUUAAGUUGGACAUCAGGAUCAAUAUAUUAUUUUAAUAUUGAAGAUGAUCAACUCCUGAGCAAAACCUUAAACAAGCAUUGUUGAGAUGAUCCUAUCUAACGGGUUCUUUCUGAACCAAGCAGAUAAUUAUUUAUGUAGCAAUCCUGAUUCCUCUGGUAAAGGAGUAAUCGAUUGGUAUAUAGGAUUUGGAGGAAGAUGUUGUCAUCCUAUGAACAAGGAUAAGAUGGAGGAACAAGAGUAUAUUAAUAUACAGUUUCAUUACAUAGAGAAAGUGUUGAAGAAAUUCAAUUACUUUGUUAUCCGGUUAAUACUCCUAUAGGUCAUAAUAUCUAACUUGUGCGUAAACAAGGAGAAUCUAUUUCACAGAUGGUGUAUUUAAAGCAAUUGGAUGCCUAAUAUCCUACUUGUGCAUAAUCAAGGUGAAUCUAUAUAACAUAUGUUGUGGGAAACUGAGUAGAAUUACCAGUAAUCCAAGUACUCUGCAGUCGCAAGCUGUGAAUAGAUUGUUUGAAUGCUUGAAAAGAACCAUGAUUUAUGGUUUAUGUUAUUAAGGUUUUCCUUUAGUUUUAAAAGGGUAUUUUGAUGUAAGUUGUAUUAUUAAGUGGACGGGUAUUCCUACUUGGUGGAGGUGUUAUCUCCUAGGCUUCAAAGAAGCAGACUUGCAUCACAAAUUUAACAAUGGAAUCUGAACUUGUAGAUUUAGCAGCAGCUGGUAAAUAAGCUGAAUGGCUAAGAAAUUUGGUCUUUGAGAUUCCUUUGUGGUCAAAACUGAUAUCACAAUUAUCUAUCAGGUGUGAUAGUGCAGGCUAAGGUUUAUAGUCAAGUGUAUAAUGGAAAGUCUAGACGGUUGUGUAUUAUACAUAGCAUGAUUCAUGAGCUCAUCAUGCAUAGAGUGAUAUCUGUUGAAUUUGUAAGAUCUGAGUAUAAUUUGGCUGAUUAUCUAACUAAAGAGUUAGGAGAGAUCUCGUGAAUAAAUCAGUCAUAGGGAUGGGUUUAAAGUCCACACUUUAAUAUCCUAUGUCAAGAUACCCAAUUCCCAUCUAAUACAACGUUAGAUGCAGAAUUCAAUGUGGAAAGCUUGUCAUAGAGAUAUUGGAACACAUGAUCAAAAUCAUCCCAAGGUGCGAGAAUAAAAGAACUACCUAUAAGAGUAUGAAGUUU
rnacentral:lncRNA from 1 species